CCUACGGGUGGCAGCAGUGAGGAAUAUUGGUCAAUGGCCGGAAGGCUGAACCAGCCAUGCCGCGUGAAGGUCAGUGCCCUAUGGGCGUUAAACUUCUUUUGUGCGGGAGCAAUAAUGGUCACGUGUGGCCAGACGAGAGUACCGUACGAAUAAGCAUCGGCUAACUCCGUGUCAGCAGCCGCGGUAAUACGGGGGAUGCAAGCGUUAUCCGGAUUUAUUGGGUUUAAAGGGGGCGUAGGCUGUGAGGUAAGUCAGCGGUGAAAUGCCCCCGCGCAACGGGGUGAAGUGCCAUUGAUACUGGCGUGCUGGAAUGCGGAUGCCGAGGGAGGAAUGUGUGGUGUAGCGGUGAAAUGCAGAGAUAUCACACAGAACACCGAUUGCGAAGGCAUCUCACGAAUCCGCGAUUGACGCUGAUGCACGAAAGCGUGGGUAUCAAACAGGAUUAGAGACCCCAGUAGUC
rnacentral:rRNA from 1 species